CAUUUCUGCCAGCCCAAGUGCUUAAAGGGGAACAAGUGCUGCUAUCCCCCUAUGCUGGUAGAUCAAAGAGUUGUGCCGAAAGGGCAGUGACCAUGCAUGUCACACUUCCUGGGAAAUGCAGGGAAAGAAAUUACCUACAGUCAGUUUUUGAUGGACUUUCAGGCACCAGGGCAAAGGGUGGCAUGAAGGCAGUGCCAAAUCCCUGCCAGAGAUACUGGAGCGGUUGUUCAGUGGAACAGGAAGUGUUUCAGCAAGCAGUGGAACGAGUCAAGCCUGGUUUCCGAGGACCACGCAUUGUCCAGCCACCAGCACUCUGUGUCUAUAUGGUAUCAAUACCCAUUGGAUGUGCAUGGUGAGGCAGAUAAAGAAAAUGGAGGUUCACAGAAAACUGUUCACAUCCUGCAGCAAAAGAUAGAGACAGAUUCUACCCUGCAAGACUGGAGAGGUAUCUGCGUAAUUCAUCACCGAGUUGCAGUUGCAUCUGUAAACUGCUAAAUGUGCUUACCCAGUAGAGAACUUGAUCAAGACAUGGUGGUCUGUAGUGAAGGCUACAUGCUUACAGUGCAAGAACUAAGGCAUGUGGCCAGAAAAAAAAAAAAUGGGAUGACUGUUGCACUGCUAUGUUUCAUACUGUCUUGACACCAGAACAGCUUUUGAGCUUGGGUAACUUUGAGGAUGCUAUGCUCUAAGCUAGCAGCAAUUAUGUGGAGGCACAGGCAUGUCAGAAGAGCAGCUUCUGGUCUCUUGUGCCUCCAGUCCUGUGUUUGAUCACUAAAUGAGACCAUUUCUUUAAGGCAGACUAAGGGAACACUUUCACAUCAAGACAUGUAGUCUUCAAGAAUUUUCAAGCGACUGAUAACAAAAGAGGGGGACACAAUCCCCACCCCUCCAAGCCAGUUCUCUUUUUGAACUUCUGAAACUCUAAAUAUUCAUUACAAAGGCCUCUCAUAUAAUGUUUUCCUGUGGGAUGAAAGAUACUGCAUAAAUGAAAAUGUUGCUGUUUAAUAGAAAUCGGUUUCUUUGCAAAAG
rnacentral:lncRNA from 1 species